CCUUCCGUAGGGGGAACCUGCGGAGGGAUCAUUACAGAGUUAUCCAACUCCCAAACCCAUGUGAACUUAUCUCUUUGUUGCCUCGGCGCAAGCUACCCGGGACCUCGCGCCCCGGGGCGGCCCGCCGGCGGACAAACCAAAACUCUUGUUAUCUUAGUUGAUUAUCUGAGUGUCUUAUUUAAUAAGUCAAAACUUUCAACAACGGAUCUCUUGGUUCUGGCAUCGAUGAAGAACGCAGCGAAAUGCGAUAAGUAAUGUGAAUUGCAGAAUUCAGUGAAUCAUCGAAUCUUUGAACGCACAUUGCGCCCAUUAGUAUUCUAGUGGGCAUGCCUGUUCGAGCGUCAUUUCAACCCCUAAGCACAGCUUAUUGUUGGGAACCUACGGCUUCGUAGUUCCUCAAAGACAUUGGCGGAGUGGCAGUGGUCCUCUGAGCGUAGUAAUCUUUUAUCUCGCUUCUGUUAGGUGCUGCCCCCCCGGCCGUAAAACCCCCAAUUUUUUCUGGUUGACCUCGGAUCAGGUAGGAAUACCCGCUGAACUUAAGCAUAUCAAAA
rnacentral:rRNA from 1 species